rnacentral:tRNA from 1 species
GCGAGAAUAGCUCAGUUGGUAGAGCGCAACCUUGCCAAGGUUGAGGUCGCGGGUUCGAACCCCGUUUCUCGCUCCA